ACAAGGCCACUGAGCUGACUCACCACCCCGCGAGUCAGUGAAGGCUUCCCCGAGGAAGCAGUGUUUGAGCUGAGCCUUGAAACAGAAGUAAGAAGACUCCAGGAGAAGGCUGCAGUAGAGGCUAGAGCUAUUUUUCCUGGCAACAGACCCAGAGAGAAGCUCAACACUUGGAGUAUGAAAGGAGAGUUGGAAAGAAAUCAACUGUGGAAUAACUGCGUGAGUCAUAGUCCACGUUCUCCUUCCCUGCAUCACAUGCUCAGGCUAAAACCAGAGGACUAAUAUUUAAAAUAAUUGAAUAGUCUUCAUGAGAAGGAGCCCUAGUUGGGGUGAUGCCCCAUCUGAGUAAACUUCUUACCAUUUUUGCUGGGAAGUGGGAAAAGUAGGGAGGGGGACCUCCAACCUCCUCUUCUUUCACUACGAGGUCUAAAGCAAAGGCUGCCAGUGACAGCCACUUGUGUAGACAAGAGAGAGCUGGACAAGGCCGAGCUAUCUGCAUUGAAUGAGCUGACCUACCUCAGUUGUAGGUAUGAAUCUAUAGCCAAAGAUUAUGAAAAUCUGAAGAAAAAUGAGGACAAAAGAGCAGGUUGAGAGAAAAAAUACACUGACUCUGGAGGAAAUAGAUAAUUCAGGACAUAGAAUAUUCUUUAAAGUUAUUCUAUGUAGUAUCCUCACGGAAACAAAAGUCAAGAGAAAGCAUUUUUAGUGCAAAAUUAGAUUGCUAAGAAAGAACAACUAAAACAAAAAUAAAUCGUUAUUAAAAUGAAAAAGUAAUUGCUAAAGUUAGAAAUUCAAGGGAAGACCUGGGAGAAAAAGUUGAAGAAAUUGCUCUAAAUGUAGUGCAAAAAGAUAAAGGAUGGAAAAUGUGGGAGAAAAGUGAAGAGAUUAGAGAAACAUCCAAAGGGAUGUUUGGAAAGAGACAAAACAAAGAAUAAGAGAGAAUUUUCCUUAAGUGAGGAAAUAGGACUUGAGAUUGUAAGAACCCUAGAGAAUGCAAAAUAGGAUGAAUGAACAAACUUAGCCCAAGGCACAUUCUUGUGACAUUUUAGAUAUUGAGAAUAAAGGGAAGAGUCUAAAAGCCAAAAGAAUAGAUUACUCAAUGAGAAUCCAAUUGGUGUUAGAUAGAUCAUCAGCAACUGUAAAUGCUAAGAAAAAACAAGAAGCAUGCCUUCAAAAUGUGUAAAAUAAAUGUUUUUUGAACCUAAAAUUCUCUACUUAGCCAAACUGUCAAUCAAGAGUGAGGCAUUUUCAAACAUGCAAGAACUCAGACCAUUUGCCACCCACAGACUAUUUCUGAAAGAAUUACUGAAGCAAAACAAAAAAGAAUCCAAGUAGGAGGAAGCCAUGGCCUCUAAGGAACAGUGGAUCUUACCCAAGAUUGUAACAAAAUAUAAUUCCAGGAUGACAACCUUGAGGCAGGCCUAGAAAGCCAUCAGUCUAAAUUAGAACCAGAAGUCAGAUGCUCUGUGAAGAAUCUCUUUCAGGAGGAUGUGGAUUUCUUCUAUAAAUUGAAUGACUGAGAAGCUGAGUGGUCUUGUGACAAGGCAAAGGCAUGGUAGAUCAUUGUGAUAAGGUAUCAUCCAAACACUCUCCAAACUGUGAAGUAAUUUUCUUCUUCUAAUAGCAAAAGUUUAUUGACAAGAGUUACGUCUCCUCUAUAGGCUCAAGGGCACAGCUGUACUUGGUUCUGCAGUGAACAAUGAUCUCCCUACGAAUACUGUGAAUGCUACUUUUCAGUUUUCAGUUUAAAAAAUCAAUUUAUAGACAAUGCAUCAAAAAUUAAUUGUAGUUAUAGGACAAGUGUGAAAACAAUAGUACACUGGAGUGGAGGUUAGGAGAGAGGGAAGGAGCAAAGGAAGAAGAUGUAAUGAUGUUGGAUUCUUUCCAUCAGAAAAAGAAUUAAGAGAUAUUGUGUCUACAUUUGAGAAGUCAAAAUAGGGUUUCAAGUGUCUUAUAUAAAUUUAUUAAUUCUAGUGAUAUCACACUGAGGCAGUAUAACAUAGUCGUUAAGAGCAUGGAUCCUGGAGCCAGAACACCUGCGUUUGAAUUUUUGCCCCACACUUCAACUUGGGCAAAUUGCUUAUCUGUGCCUUGGUUUUCUCAGCAAAAAAUUAAGAUAAGUAGUUAAUAUUUUACAAAGUUAUUUGAAAAUAAAAAGAGUUAAUAUAUAUAAACUGCUUAGAACAGUCUUUGGCACAUAAAAAAUUAUUCUAUAUCAUCAUAUGUUACCGAUGAUGAUGAUGAUGAUGAUGAUGGAAAACAUCUAAACAUGUAGAGAAAAGGGAACCCUUGUAAACUGCUGGUGGGAAAGUAAAUUAGUACAUUGAUUAUGGAAAACAGUCUGGAGGUUCCUCAGAAAAUUAAAAAUAAAUCUACAUAUUACGCAGAAAUCCCACUUAUGGGUAUAUAGGCAAAGAAGAUGAGAUAAGUAUGCCAAACAGACAUGUGCACGCCCAUGUUCACUGCAGCAUUAUUUACAGUACCCAAGAAAUGAAAUCAACAUAAGUGUCCAUCAGUGGAUGAAUGGAUAAAGAAAAUGUGGGGAGGGGGAUUAGGGAGAUGUUGGUCAAAGGAUACAAGGUUUCAGUUAGACAGGAGGAAUACAUUCAGGAGAUCUAUUGUACAACAUUGUGGCUAUAGUUAAUAACAAUGUUUUGUAUUCUUGAAAGUUGCUCUAAGAGAAUAGGUUUUAAGUGUUGUCACCAUAAAAAUGUUAAGUAUGAGAGCUAAUGCAUAUGUUAAUUCGCUCAAUUUAGCUAUUUCACAAUGUAUACAUAUUUUAAAACAACAUAUUGACAUGAUAAAUAUAUACAAUUCUUUAUCAGGUACAAAAUUAAAUGAAAAUACAACACAAAACAUUUAAAAAGUUAAAAAAUAAAAAUUUAAUGGGCAGAGAUUGGGAAAGGGAGGUAGUAGCUUGAGAAAAUUUAUUUUUUCAAUUUUUUUUAAAUGAGAGAUCAACGAAUGUUUAAACUUGACAAGUAAGUAAAGACAGGCAUAACCAUAUUCAGAGUUAUGGAAGAAAUCUUCAGAGAAAUUUCUAUUUUGUCCUAUUUUAAGGGUUUUUAAAAAUUCAUAUGCAAGCACUAUUUUUAUUUAGUUUUUACCAAUUUUACUGAGGUGUAAUUGACAUACAAUAAACUGCACAUAUUUAAAGUGAACAAUUUGAUACAUUUUGGACUUAGGUACACACCCCUGAAACUAUCACAGUAAUCGAGAUGAUGAACACAACCAUCAACCAUCAUGCUCUAAAGUUUCUUCAUGCCCCUUGAUAAUCUCUUCUUCCUACCUCUUCCCACUCCCCCAGUCUCAGGCAACCACCGUUCUGCUUAUGUGACAAUAAAUUGGCUUGCAUUUUCUAGAAUUUUAUAUCAAUGAAAUCAUAUAGUAUGUACCCUUACAUCUGGCUUCUUUCAUUCAGCAUGAUUAUUUUGAGAUUAUUCACACUAUACUGUGUAACAAUACAUUCAUUCUGUGGAUAAACCACAAUUAACAAAUUUACUUGUUGAUGGAAAUCUGGUUUUUGUUUUGCUUUUUCCAGUUUUUGGCUAUUACAAAUAGAACUGCUGUGAUCCUUCAUGUGUAAAGAAAGAACAGAAGUGAUUGAAUAUUGUUAAUUAUACCACCGUGUGUUUAGAAAAGUAAGAAGCAGUCAAUUUUCACAUCAAAGACAGCAUCUAAGAAGUUUUGUUCUGUCCUGUAAUUAUUUUAGUAGUGUUUCAGUAAUGUUGACUGUAUUUUCCAACUUGUUCAAAUUAUUACCAGUGAAUCUUUGUCAGCAGUUCCUUUUAAAUGCAAAUCAAUAAAUUCCCAAAAAUU